GAUGAACGCUGGCGGCGUGCCUAAUACAUGCAAGUCGAGCGAACGGACGAGAAGCUUGCUUUUCUGAUGUUAGCGGCGGACGGGUGAGUAACACGUGGAUAACCUACCUAUAAGACUGGGACAACUUCGGGAAACCGGAGCUAAUACCGGAUAAUAUUUUGAACCGCAUGGUUCAAAAGUGAAAGACGGUCUUGCUGUCACUUAUAGAUGGAUCCGCGCUGCAUUAGCUAGUUGGUAAGGUAACGGCUUACCAAGGCAACGAUGCAUAGCCGACCUGAGAGGGUGAUCGGCCACACUGGAACUGAGACACGGUCCAGACUCCUACGGGAGGCAGCAGUAGGGAAUCUUCCGCAAUGGGCGAAAGCCUGACGGAGCAACGCCGCGUGAGUGAUGAAGGUCUUCGGAUCGUAAAACUCUGUUAUUAGGGAAGAACAUAUGUGUAAGUAACUGUGCACAUCUUGACGGUACCUAAUCAGAAAGCCACGGCUAACUACGUG
rnacentral:rRNA from 1 species